AUUGAACGCUGGCGGCAUGCCUUACACAUGCAAGUCGAACGGCAGCACGGGAACAAUCCUGGUGGCGAGUGGCGAACGGGUGAGUAAUAUAUCGGAACGUGCCCAGUCGUGGGGGAUAACGUAGCGAAAGCUACGCUAAUACCGCAUACGAUCUAUGGAUGAAAGCGGGGGAUCGCAAGACCUCGCGCGAUUGGAGCGGCCGAUAUCAGAUUAGGUAGUUGGUGAGGUAAAGGCUCACCAAGCCGACGAUCUGUAGCUGGUCUGAGAGGACGACCAGCCACACUGGGACUGAGACACGGCCCAGACUCCUACGGGAGGCAGCAGUGGGGAAUUUUGGACAAUGGGCGCAAGCCUGAUCCAGCAAUGCCGCGUGCAGGAUGAAGGCCUUCGGGUUGUAAACUGCUUUUGUACGGAACGAAACGGCGAGCUCUAAUACAGUUUGCUAAUGACGGUACCGUAAGAAUAAGCACCGGCUAACUACGUGCCAGCCGCCGCAGUAAUAC
rnacentral:rRNA from 1 species